rnacentral:rRNA from 1 species
UACGUAGGGGGCUAGCGUUGUCCGGAUUUAUUGGGCGUAAAGAGCGUGUAGGCGGCCAGGUAGGUCCGUUGUGAAAACUCGAGGCUCAACCUCGAGACGUCGGCGGAAACCCUCUGGCUAGAGUCCGGAAGAGGAGAGUGGAAUUCCUGGUGUAGCGGUGAAAUGCGCAGAUAUCAGGAAGAACACCCGUGGCGAAGGCGGCUCACUGGCCCGAUACUGACGCUGAGGCACGAAAGCGUGGGGAGCAAACAGG